UCGGGAAUUUUAGGCAAUGGGCGAAAGCCUGACCCAGCAACGCCGCGUGAAGGAUGAAGUAUUUCGGUAUGUAAACUUCGAAAGAAUAGGAAGAAUAAAUGACGGUACUAUUUAUAAGGUCCGGCUAACUACGUGCCAGCAGCCGCGGUAAUACGUAGGGACCAAGCGUUGUUCGGAUUUACUGGGCGUAAAGGGCGCGUAGGCGGCAAUUCAAGUCAUCUGUGAAAUCUCCGGGCUUAACUCGGAACGGUCAGAUGAUACUGCUUUGCUAGAGUGCAGAAGGGGCAAUCGGAAUUCUUGGUGUAGCGGUGAAAUGCGUAGAUAUCAAGAGGAACACCUGAGGUGAAGACGGGUUGCUGGGCUGACACUGACGCUGAGGCGCGAAAGCCAGGGGAGCAAACGGGAUUAGAUACCCUAGUAGUCCCUGAGCGGGCUGGCAAGGCGCAU
rnacentral:rRNA from 1 species